rnacentral:rRNA from 1 species
UACGUAGGGUCCGAGCGUUGUCCGGAAUUAUUGGGCGUAAAGGGCUCGUAGGCGGUUUGUCGCGUCGGGAGUGAAAACUCAGGGCUCAACCCUGAGCGUGCUUCCGAUACGGGCAGACUGGAGUACUGCAGGGGAGACUGGAAUUCCUGGUGUAGCGGUGGAAUGCGCAGAUAUCAGGAGGAACACCGGUGGCGAAGGCGGUUCUCUGGGCAUUAACUGACGCUGAGGAGCGAAAGCAUGGGGAGCGAACAGG